AGACCAGGCUGGCCUCGAACUCAGAAAUCUGCCUGCCUCUGCCUCCCGCAUGCUGGGAUCAAAGGUGUGCGCCACCACACCCGCUCCUUUACCACCCUUCUUAUUCUGAGCAUCUUGGCUUCUCCCUCCAUCUUUCUAGAGGAAGAGAAUAGGCUUGUGAACAAGGCCCCAGGUUUGUAGCCUUCUGAAGGGCCUGGAAAGAAGCAGGUGAAGAAGAUGAAGCGAGGGAAUCAUCGGGAAUGAGGGAAGGGAGUCGCUGGAAGCGAUCUGCAAAGGAAUGAGGGAAGAAAACAAUAUCCCUGGAGGCGGCUUGCAGGUGGCUGCUGAAGUGACCACAUCCAACCAGGAGCUUCAUUAUCGUUGGCUAAACUGUACACCCCCCAGGGUGGUUAAGGCUGAAAGAACUAUAAAGGUUGUGAAGUGGUGCCUGCUGAAUUUCCAGGAAAAAAAAAAAAUUCCUCCAGCCAUUAGGGCACCAACCUCCCCUUGUUCUUUACUCUAAGAAUCUCCAGACCCCAAGAGCUGAGACAUGAACCUGCAGCUAAGUCCACUAAGCAAGAAAUUAAAAUCCCCAUCACGGCUCAGUGGGUGGUGGUUGGCCUUGUUUCUGAUCCCACAGUUCAAGAAAAGUGGCACAGUGGAGCCAACACCGGACUGAACCUGAGACUUUUCCACUCAAUGGCCAAGCUGACUCUCCAGCCGAUCCUUGGGGAUUUACCGACAGAACCUUACGGAGUAGGCAAUUGAGGUGGACGUCGUUAUCUUAGCACACACGGUUCGCAGACGUGGUCUCAGUAAUUACGCCCUGAAAAUGAACUGGUAAUCCUAGGAUAGAUCCUGUGACAGUUAAGAAGGUAGAAUAAUCUAGAACCAUGGAAGAUGUGGAAGAACUUUCCAGGCCAAUGUCAGCGUUGGCUCGUCUAUGUCAGCUGAGAGGAGGGAAUUCCCUUGAGAAAAUGCCUUCAUAAGACUGUAGGCAGGCCUGUAGGGUAUUUUCUUUCUUUCUUCCUUGUUUUUCUUUGUCUUGUUUUGAGACAGGUUUUCUCUGUGUAGCCCUGGCUGUCCUGGAACUCACUCUGUUGACCAGGCUGGCCUCGAACUCAGGGAUCUGCCUGCCUCUGCCUCCCGAGUGCUGGGAUUAAAGGUGUGCGCCACCACUGCCCAAUGAUAGUUCUGAGUUCAAAAGAAAUCAGGCUGAGCAAGCCAUGAAGAGCAAGCUACCAAGCAGCAGCCCUCCACAGCCUCCGCAUCAGUUCCUAUCUCCAGGUUCCUGCCUGGAUUGAGUUCGUUGACUUCUCUCAAUGGAUUCUCUGAUUCUGAAUAUGUAAGCCAAACAAACCCUUUCCUCCCCAGGCCAGGUUGCUUUUGGUCAUGGUGUUUCAUCACAGCAAUAGUGACCUUCACUAAGACAGAUGGCUCAGCAGGUAAGCGUGUUUGCCACAAAGCUGCUGCUCAGAGCUGUCUUCUGAAUAUGCCACGUGCCACGGUGUACGCACACACCACUCAAAUAAACAAAAAGUGUACUGAUUAAAAAAUAAUGACUCAAACCUUUCAGAAGUCAGUGUAUACGAAGGAUGAGUGUGUCACGGGGGAAGAGCCAUGCUGGAUACGGGUAGUCACAGGAACUGUAGGGAUUCAGUCAGUGAGGGCAUGUCUCUUGCCCUCUGACUUCUCCCGCCUCUUUCCCCCGUGCAGACAUGUGCGCCACCCUAAGCUUUCCCUCUCCCAGGCAACAUAAUCUUUGCUAAGGCUUGAGAUCAGAGGAAUUUUUACUUUGUGUCGUCCUUGGCAUUAAAUAAGGGGACCUUUACCCAGCAUCAGCAG
rnacentral:lncRNA from 1 species